rnacentral:misc_RNA from 1 species
ACAAACUUGGUCAUUUAGAGGAAGUAAAAGUCGUAACAAGGUUUCCGUAGGUGAACCUGCGGAAGGAUCAUUACAGUGCCCUGGGGACCGCACGUUUCUCCUUAACGGGGGGGACCGCGGUCUCCAACCAGGCCCCAACCGUGUCUAUCUGAACCUAGUUGCCUUGGCGGGCCCGUCGGGGUGAAUCCCGACCGCCGGGGGCGAGCCGCCGUGCUUCCCCGGGCCCGCGCCCGCCAAAGGAACCGUAUUGAACUCUUUGUCUAAGCUGGCUGUCUGAGUGGGAAUAAAUAAAGCAAAACUUUCAACAAUGGAUCUCUUGGUUCCGGCAUCGAUGAAGAACGCAGC